GUCGAACGCUGGCGGCGUGCUUAACACAUGCCAGUCGAACGGAAAGGCCCCUUUGGGGGUACUCGAGUGGCGAACGGGUGAGUAACACGUGAGUAACCUGCCCUUGACUUCGGGAUAACUUCAGGAAACUGGGGCUAAUACCGGCUAGGAAUCCUUGCUGCAUGGUGGGGGUUGGAAAGCUUUGGCGGUUUUGGAUGGACUCGCGGCGUAUCAGCUUGUUGGUGGGGUAGUGGCUUACCAAGGCUUUGACGGGUAGCAGGCCUGGGAGGGGGACGGGCCACAAUGGGGCUGAGAUGCGGCCCAGACGCCUACGGGAGGCAGCAGUGGGGAAUAUUGCACAAUGGGCGGAAGCCUGAUGCAGCAACGCCGCGGGCGGGGUGACGGCCUUCGGGUUGUAAACCGAUUUCAGCAGGGGCGAAGCUUGUGGUGACGGUACCUGCAGAAGAAGCACCGGCUAACUACGUG
rnacentral:rRNA from 1 species